GAUGAACGCUAGCGGCAGGCUUAAUACAUGCAAGUCGAGGGGCAGCAGUCCCGCAGCAAUGCGGGAGCUGGCGACCGGCAAACGGGUGCGGAACACGUACAGAACCUUCCUUCGAGCGGGGAAUAGCCCAGAGAAAUUUGGAUUAAUACCCCAUAGCAUUACGAAGUGGCAUCACUUUGUUAAUUAAAGAUUUAUCACUCGAAGAUGGCUGUGCGGCNGAUUAGGUAGUUGGCGGAGUAACGGCCCACCAAGCCUUCGAUCAGUAACUGGUGUGAGAGCACGACCAGUCACACGGGC
rnacentral:rRNA from 1 species